rnacentral:rRNA from 1 species
CAGUAGCCACGGUAACACGUAGGGUGCAAGCGUUAAUCGGAAUUACUGGGCGUAAAGCGUGCGCAGGCGGUGUUGUAAGACUGAUGUGAAAUCCCCGGGCUCAACCUGGGAACUGCAUUGGUGACUGGCAGGCUAGAGUAUGGCAGAGGGGGGUGGAAUUCCGCGUGUAGCAGUGAAAUGCGUAGAUAUGCGGAGGAACACCGAUGGCGAAGGCAGCCCCCUGGGCCAAUACUGACGCUCAUGCACGAAAGCGUGGGGAGCAAACAGGAUUAGAUACCCCUGUAGUCCCUGUCUCUUAUAC